rnacentral:rRNA from 1 species
AUCGUAACUCCUACGGGAGGCAGCAGUGGGGAAUUUUGGACAAUGGGGGCAACCCUGAUCCAGCAAUGCCGCGUGAUUGAAGAAGGCCUUCGGGUUGUAAAGCUCUUUUGUCAGGGAAGAAACGGUAGUAGCUAAUAUCUAUUACUAAUGACGGUACCUGAAGAAUAAGCACCGGCUAACUACGUGCCAGCAGCCGCGGUAAUACGUAGGGUGCAAGCGUUAAUCAGAAUUACUGGGCGUAAAGCGUGCGCAGGCGGUUGUGUAAGUCAGAUGUGAAGUCCCCGGGCUCAACCUGGGAAGUGCAUUUGAGACUGCAAGGCUAGAGUGUGUCAGAGGGGGGUAGAAUUCCACGUGUAGCAGUGAAAUGCGUAGAUAUGUGGAGGAAUACCGAUGGCGAAGGCAGCCCCCUGGGAUAACACUGACGCUCAUGCACGAAAGCGUGGGGAGCAAACAGGAAUAGAUACCCCGGUAGUCCUAGAGC